rnacentral:rRNA from 1 species
CUCAGGAUUAACGCUGGCGGCGUGCCUAAUACAUGCAAGUCGAACGGAAACCUUCGGGUUUUAGUGGCGAACGGGUGAGUAACACGUAAGCAACCUACCCUAAAGACGAGGAUAACCAUUGGAAACAGUGGCUAAGACUGGAUAGGAAGAUAAAAGGCAUCUUUUAUCUUUUAAAAGACCUAGUAAUAGGUAUGCUUUAGGAGGGGCUUGCGCCAUAUUAGUUAGUUGGUAGGGUAAUGGCCUACCAAGACGAUGAUGUGUAGCUGGACUGAGAGGUUGAACAGCCACAUUGGGACUGAGACACGGCCCAAACUCCUACGGGAGGCAGCAGUAGGGAAUUUUCGGCAAUGGAGGAAACUCUGACCGAGCAACGCCGCGUGAAUGACGAAGUACUUCGGUAUGUAAAGUUCUUUUAUCAAGGAAGAAAAGCAAAUGGCGAACCAUUUGUUUGCCGGUACUUGAUGAAUAAGCCCCGGCUAAUUAUGUGCCAGCAGCCGCGGUAAGACAUAAGGGGCAAGUGUUAUCCGGAAUUAUUGGGCGUAAAGGGUGCGUAGGCGGUCUAGUAAGUCAGUGGUGUAAUGGCAACGCUUAACGUUGUCCGGCUAUUGAAACUGCUAAACUUGAGUUAGAUAGAGGCGAGUGGAAUUCCAUGUGUAGCGGUAAAAUGCGUAAAUAUAUGGAGGAACACCAGAGGCGUAGGCGGCUCGCUGGGUCUUAACUGACGCUGAGGCACGAAAGCGUGGGGAGCAAACAGGAUUAGAUACCCUGGUAGUCCACGCCGUAAACGAUGAGUACUAAGUGUCGGGUUAAACCGGUACUGAAGUUAACACAUUAAGUACUCCGCCUGAGUAGUACGUACGCAAGUAUGAAACUUAAAGGAAUUGACGGGACUCCGCACAAGCGGUGGAUCAUGUUGUUUAAUUCGAAGAUACCCGAAAAACCUUACCAGGUCUUGACAUGUUUUUGCAAAAUGAUAGUAAUAUCGUGGAGGUUACCAGAAACACAGGUGGUGCAUGGUUGUCGUCAGCUCGUGUCGUGAGAUGUUAGGUUAAGUCCUAAAACGAGCGAAACCCUUAUCGUUAGUUGCCAGCACGUUAUGGUGGGGACUUUAACGAGACUGCCAAUGAUAAAUUGGAGGAAGGUGAGGAUCACGUCAAAUCAGCAUGCCCCUUAUGACCUGGGCUACAAACGUGAUACAAUGGCUGUUACAAAGGGUAGCUGAAACGCAAGUUCUUGGCCAAUCCCCAAAAACAGUCCCAGUCCGGAUUGAAGUCUGCAACUCGACUUCAUGAAGUUGGAAUCGCUAGUAAUCGCGAAUCAGCAUGUCGCGGUGAAUACGUUCUCGGGGUUUGUACACACCGCCCGUCAAACCACGAAAGUUGGCAAUACC